AGAGUUUGAUCCUGGCUCAGGACGAACGCUGGCGGCGCGCCUAACACAUGCAAGUCGAACGAGCGAGAGAGAGCUUGCUUUCUCGAGCGAGUGGCGAACGGGUGAGUAACGCGUGAGGAACCUGCCUCAAAGAGGGGGACAACAGUUGGAAACGACUGCUAAUACCGCAUAAGCCCACGACCCGGCAUCGGGGAAGAGGGAAAAAGGAGCCAAAUCCGCUUUGAGAUGGCCUCGCGUCCGAUUAGCUAGUUGGUG
rnacentral:rRNA from 1 species